UACGUAGGGCGCAAGCGUUGUCCGGAAUUAUUGGGCGUAAAGAGCUCGUAGGCGGUCUGUUGCGUCUGCCGUGAAAACCCGAGGCUUAACCUCGGGCCUGCGGUGGAUACGGGCGGACUAGAGUGCGGUAGGGGAGACUGGAAUUCCUGGUGUAGCGGUGAAAUGCGCAGAUAUCAGGAGGAACACCGGUGGCGAAGGCGGAUCUCUGGGCCAUUACUGACGCUGAGGAGCGAAAGCGUGGGGAGCGAACAGG
rnacentral:rRNA from 1 species